GCAUGACGGUGGGAUAGUUUUCCAUGAUUUUCUUCUCAGCGAAGUGUUUCCAAGUUGAUCUGACGUCGAGUGGUCCUGCAAUCCCACGAGUCUUUGUGGGUUUUAAGGGUUCAGAUUUGAAGCUUAACCACACAUUUUCAGUGAAUCCAAUGCCAGUAAAUCACUUGUCAAUAAUCAGUAGGAAAAGCAGGCUCGAAUCCACUUUUUGUUACCGUCUGAGUGAUGCAGAUUAUGUGAUUGCAUUGGAGAGCCAGUAUACUGAUUGCGGUAGCUUACCGGUGGAGCAGUUGUUGCACAAUCUACACAGUGAAAUAAUCCAUGGGGAGGAGGCAGUAGUGAUGGUGUUCAAGCGCAUUUGUAUUUGUGGGUUUUGCAGAAUUGUCAUCAAUGGAGAAAGCUGGAGGGUGGACAUGCGACAGAAUGGUUUGCUUCGUGCUUGAAUCCGUUGCAGCAACGCAUGAAGUUGUCGAAAACUCUCGAGACUCUGCAGAAUUCAUUCCUCUUGAUACUGCUGCAUCUUUGGGUCAGGCGGCCUGUUGGUUGAAGGCGUAGAGGUUGCAGUCUAGGUUCGUAUUCCUCGUUUGCUGUGCUUGCUGGCGCAAGGAAAGAUGGAAUCUCAAGCAUGUGACGAUUCACUAAUUCAGAUCUGCAAUGAAAGUUUCAAAACGGGAACAAUUGAGUGGAUAUAAGCGAGAAGAAGAAUUUCUCCUGGUUUCGGGCUGGGUUUUCUUAUUUCUGUGUUGCUCCUGCAUCUCCUUCCAACUACUGAUAUGGAUUGAGUGGCAAUCGGACGCCUAGAGCAUCCGGAUAAGUGACCAGAUUUGCAACAAAUGUCCGACACCGCUCAAGGGGUCUCUGGUGAAAUCUUGAGUUUGCUGUCGCUUUCAAGGUGUGCUUGAAAUUUAUUUAUGUUCCUGAGCCAACUUUUGCAGUUCCAGAACCAAUUCUAGUUGCUCUUUCCUGCUGGAGCCCAUCAAGUCCCCCGUAAAUAUAAUGUUGAUGCAUUUGAAACAUGCAUGCCUAAUAUUCAGAAGCAGUCAGGAUAAGUUGAAGAGGUAUACGUCAUACCUCUGAAGUAUACACAUGCUUCUUUCUUGACUGUAACUGUUCUCUGUUCUAUACCUUGAGUCAAGUCACCUUCUCGUAUGCCUUGCAUCAGGUAAUUUGGGGAGGUUGACUGUUGUACGUGAUUGUACAGGACGUCUUUUUUUUAUAUGUAAAUAUAAAAUCAAAAAUUAAGAAUCCCUGAUAACAUUUUAUUUUAGUUCACCAGCUUCAACACUCUAUGUUGCCCUGUUCCGAGGUUUGGGUUAACUUUGCGGGUAUGCCUCGUAGUGAUUUCGUAGGGAAAAUUCAAGUCAAUCACAGCUCCUUGUUCACACAAGCAAGAUGAUCGUGAAACAUUUACCAACCUUUUUAUAUAUCAUUUAAAAAUGAAGUGUUGACAGGUGAACGCAGCGUUUAAAAUCUCGCAGCGAAGGUUUCGAUGAUUCCCGAAUUGCUUUUACAACUCUUUGUGUAUUAAUAUUGCACGAAAAGAAGUUUCUGUUGUUCAACUUGGAAAACAGAAGAUACUGCGGAGACCGCUCAGCUGAUGGUCCAGCUAGAGUUAUAAUGAGUUGUGGCACUGAUUGUGACUAUGGACGAUAUCGAGAUGUUGGCGAAGGUAAAAAUUUAACGAUGCGUCUUCAUCAGUCACGGGUUCAAGUAAUGAGAUCACUCUAUCCAAAACGAGACGAAGACGCACAAAAAUAGAUAACAUUGUAAUAGAGGACACUAUUUCCAAGAUCAGAAGGAAGUUGUUGAAAAGGAAAGGUUGGAAGAGUUUGAGGCACUGAUUGUCAUGGCAGUCACUGUUACUGCUGCAUCUGCCAAGGCAGGGGCCGCUAGUCCAACUACAGAUGAGAAAGAAGAGAACGACAUGAAGUGACUUUGUUGGUCACAACGACAGGAAAGCCCCGAGAACAAUGGUGAAAAACCGAAAUUAUUUGAAAUGAGGGCAAUUGAUAGAACUGACAAUUUUCUGUUGUCCUGGUAGAUGGACCCUCGAAUACACUGGGCACAAGUGUAUUGAGAUGGCGAGGGCAGCGCUGGUGGGUGAGCAAGUAGCUAGACCAACAGCGAAGCUUCAGCUUAUGACAUUGUGUUGUAGUGGGGAUUAUCUGACGUGAAGAAGUUACCUGCAUUUACAGAAUUGUAGUAUACAGUCCUGUCUACAGGUACGGGAAGUCCAUCCACAGCAAACACUCACACACACCACACCCUAACAAUAAUUUUAAUUACAAUUUCAGAUCAGCUGUAAGCUGGGUGUCGGUUCGUUGGACAGUACGAAAGCAACUUUCGGACCUUCAGAAUUGCCUCCACCUUGAAUGCCAUCACAAUCGAUCUUGGGAACAGAAUUGGAAUGCAUCAACACCAUAUUUUUUA